AACCAACUGAGCAAUCCAGCCAGGGCUGAACAAUCUACUAAGUUUCAGGCAUUUUGUGCUGGAGCACUGGACUUGAUCUGGUCUGUCUUUUCAAGUACUGGAUUGGACUGCUACCACUGCUGGACCAAGCCUCAAGAUCAUGAAGCAAGCUAAAUUCCCCACUGCUAUGGCUCUGUGGCCUGCUCUGGGUAUUAACUGCACCUGCUUUCGGAGUAAAUGACUCAACAAAAAACUGGAACUGAAGCAAGAAAACGAAUAGCUCUGAUGAGUUUACUUGCCAAUACAACAGUCUCCCUGACCCUGCAAAGCAAGAGCCUCGGUUGUUCUACAUGUUUUUUUUUCCUCUGUUUGAAGUCAUAGUGUUUUCAGUUUGGCCAUCUUCUAAGGAGUUUGAACCUACGGAAGAACUAUCUUGACUAUCUUGAUGGGGGAGUUGAAGAAAUCCUUCACCGGAGUCUGAGCGGGACUUAGAUGCCUCAAUGAAUAGAAUGCAGGGGAAACGAUGCUGCAUGACUUCUGAGGCUUGGUCAUUAAAACAAAGAUGGUUUUCGUCUGACCAUGUUCUGACCAUGUUGUGAGAAAGCCAACAACUGCCCAUGGGAAGAGAUCACACAGAGAGGAAACGGAUACCCCCCUGCAGCUGAUAGCCAGCAUCCACCACCAGCCUUUCCAUCCUCCCGCCGAGGGCCCAGGGGCAAGUGGAGCAGAGGCAAACUGGCUCCCUGUACCUGUCCAAAUUCCCACCCACAGAAUCUGUGAGCAUAAUAAAUAAUUGUUUUAUACCACUAA